rnacentral:rRNA from 1 species
ACGGGGGCCCGCACAAGCGGAGGAACAUGUGGUUUAAUUCGAUGAUACGCGAGGAACCUUACCCGGGUUUGAACGUAGGGAGACAGGAGUGGAAACAUUCUUUUCAGCAAUGACUGCCUACGAGGUGCUGCAUGGUUGUCGUCAGCUCGUGCCGUGAGGUGUCGGCUUAAGUGCCAUAACGAGCGCAACCCUUAUUUCCAGUUACUAACAGGUCAAGCUGAGGACUCUGGAGAGACUGCCAGCGUAAGCUGUGAGGAAGGUGGGGAUGACGUCAAAUCAGCACGGCCCUUACAUCCGGGGCGACACACGUGUUACAAUGGUAAGGACAAAGGGCAGCUACCGGGCGACCGGAUGCGAAUCUCUAAACCUUAUCUCAGUUCGGAUCGGAGUCUGCAACUCGACUCCGUGAAGCUGGAUUCGCUAGUAAUCGCGCAUCAGCCAUGGCGCGGUGAAUACGUUCCCGGGCCUUGUACACACCGCCCGUCAAGCCAUGGGAGCCGGGGGUACCUGAAGUUCGUAACCGCAAGGAUCGACCUAGGGUAAAACUGGUGACUGGGGCUAAGUCGUAACAAGGUAGCCGUACCGGAAGGUGCGGCUGGAACACCUCCUU